UGGGGAAUAUUGGACAAUGGGGGGAACCCUGAUCCAGCCAUGCCGCGUGUGUGAAGAAGGCCUUAUGGUUGUAAAGCACUUUAAGCGAGGAGGAGGCUCUCUUGGUUAAUACCCAAGAAGAGUGGACGUUACUCGCAGAAUAAGCACCGGCUAACUCUGUGCCAGCAGCCGAGGUAAUACAGAGGGUGCGAGCGUUAAUCGGAUUUACUGGGCGUAAAGCGUGCGUAGGCGGCUUUUUAAGUCGGAUGUGAAAUCCCCGAGCUUAACUUGGGAAUUGCAUUCGAUACUGGGAAGCUAGAGUAUGGGAGAGGAUGGUAGAAUUCCAGGUGUAGCGGUGAAAUGCGUAGAGAUCUGGAGGAAUACCGAUAGCGAAGGCAGCCAUCUGGCCUAAUACUGACGCUGAGGUACGAAAGCAUGGGGAGCAAACAGG
rnacentral:rRNA from 1 species